GAGUUUGAUCAUGGCUCAGGAUGAACGCUGACAGAAUGCUUAACACAUGCAAGUCGAUUCGAUUUACCUUCGGGUAUUGAGGAUGGCGGACGGGUGAGUAACGCGUAAGGAACUUGCCUCUUGGUCUGGGACAACUGUUGGAAACGACAGCUAAUACCGGAUAUUAUGAGAUUCUCGCAUGGGAAACUUAUGAAAGCUAUAUGCGCCAAGAGAGAGCCUUGCGUUCCAUUAGCUAGUUGGUGGGGUAACGGCCCACCAAGGCGACGAUGGAUAGCCGGCCUGAGAGGGUGAACGGCCACAAGGGGACUGAGACACGGCCCUUACUCCUACGGGAGGCAGCAGUGGGGAAUAUUGGACAAUGGGCCACAAGCCUGAUCCAGCAAUUCUGUGUGCACGAUGAAGGUCUUCGGAUUGUAAAGUGCUUUCAGUUGGGAAGAAGAAAGUGACGGUACCAACAGAAGAAGCGACGGCUAAAUACGUGCCAGCAGCCGCGGUAAUACGUAUGUCGCAAGCGUUAUCCGGAUUUAUUGGGCGCAAAGCGCGUCUAGGCGGAAAAAUAAGUCUGAUGUUAAAAUGCGGGGCUCAACUCCGUAUUGCGUUGGAAACUGUUUUUCUAGAGUACUGGAGAGGUGGGCGGAACUACAAGUGUAGAGGUGAAAUUCGUAGAUAUUUGUAGGAAUGCCGAUGGAGAAGUCAGCUCACUGGACAGAUACUGACGCUAAAGCGCGAAAGCGUGGGGAGCAAACAGGAUUAGAUACCCUGGUAGUCCACGCCGUAAACGAUGAUCACUAGGUGUUGGGGGUCGAACCUCAGCGCCCAAGCUAACGCGAUAAGUGAUCCGCCUGGGGAGUACGCAC
rnacentral:rRNA from 1 species